UACGGGGGGGGCAAGCGUUGUUCGGAAUUACUGGGCGUAAAGGGCGCGUAGGCGGUUCGCUAAGUUGGAUGUGAAAACUCUGGGCUCAACCCAGAGCCUGCAUCCAAAACUGGUGGGCUAGAGUUCUGGAGGGGGUAGCGGAAUUCCUGGUGUAGCGGUGAAAUGCGUAGAUAUCAGGAGGAACACCGGUGGCGAAGGCGGCUACCUGGACAGAAACUGACGCUGAGGCGCGAAAGCGUGGGGAGCGAACAGG
rnacentral:rRNA from 1 species